rnacentral:rRNA from 1 species
GUCGAGCGGAACGAGUUAUCUGAACCUUCGGGGAACGAUAACGGCGUCGAGCGGCGGACGGGUGAGUAAUGCCUAGGAAAUUGCCCUGAUGUGGGGGAUAACCAUUGGAAACGAUGGCUAAUACCGCAUAAUGCCUACGGGCCAAAGAGGGGGACCUUCGGGCCUCUCCUGCUAGGAUAUGCCUAGGUGGGAUUAGCUAGUUGGUGAGGUAAUGGCUCACCAAGGCGACGAUCCCUAGCUGGUCUGAGAGGAUGAUCAGCCACACUGGAACUGAGACACGGUCCAGACUCCUACGGGAGGCAGCAGUGGGGAAUAUUGCACAAUGGGCGCAAGCCUGAUGCAGCCAUGCCCCGUGUGUGAAGAAGGCCUUCGGGUUGU